UUUUUGGCUUUAUCAAUGGAUGAACUAGAUACGAGUGACUGUGGCAUGUCAUCUUUGUGUGACUUCCAUCAGGACUGCUUUGGAAUAGAAUAUAGGGAGCCUAACAAUCAUUAGGAUCUUGCUCUCCUUGCCACAUACCAUGGUGAUUUCUUAGGCACUUUAUUGGUACCUUUUAACAUAGCUCAUUUCUUUUUUAGCGAGACAGGGAGAACUGUAGUACCUCGGAGAAAAUGGAAAUGGCAAGAAUUCCUUGUUUUUAUUCUCUCAUUUAAGGGGAUUUUUUUAUUUUUUAACUUCCAAAAAAAUCUGAGGUGAACAUGAGAGGGAAUGUAAUCAGAAUCUGAAAGCAGUUCAGGCAGAAAUGAUUUCUGAACAAAAGAGUUCCAGAAAAGUUUUAAAACCUAUAAUUUCAGUAGUUGAACAUAAGGCGCCCUGGUCAGUUUUGUUUUUGUUUUGUUUAAAAGAAAGUGCUGAGGAAAAGAAAAUAGGUCCCUUCUCAGUUCUACUUGCAUUUUGUAAACCAAUCACCAGAAAAGACAAAUGGGCCAAUGGUCAUGGUGCUCCUCAGGUAAAAGCAGUAUUGAAUGUUAAACUCUUUAUGUUCUUAAAUUUGACCCAAAUUAAGUGACUCUUGACUAACUUUUUAAAUGACUUUAGUAGUUGCAACCA
rnacentral:lncRNA from 1 species